CAAGCUAUCAGCAAUGUGUUUUUUUUCUCUAGAGAUCCACUCAAAGGAAAUAAACUCAAAACACUCAAUCAUGAAUAAAAUAUCCGAAACAGAUCCAUAGAUUUCCAUAUUUGAGUUGUUUUCCUUGAUGGCUUUGAUAAGUUGGGUUGAGUCUGAUUGACAUCGGACUUCUUUGAUACCCAUGUUUCUACAAUAGCGGAGACCUUGUCUGAGAGAAAGGCUUUCGGCUGCUAGAGGGGAGAUGGUGCUUGGAGCAAUUUCAGCAAAGCUAUGGGUAGUAGAUGGAUGUUGGGAAGCUGUUUCUUGAUUUAAAAUCCCGAAGAGCGAGGCGACCUGUAAGACGUUUUUAGGCGAAGCCCCAGUGCAUCCAUGUAAGGAAAAAGCUUGUAAGGAAGUGUGUAAG